rnacentral:rRNA from 1 species
ACACUAGAAAAGAUAAUUUUACCUAAAAAUUUAAAUUUAAUUUUAAUGAAAAGUUUAAAAUUAAAUUUUUAGACGAUAAGACCCUAUGAAGCUUUAUUAUUAUUAAUUUUUUUGGGGAAAACUAUAAUUUAUUUAUUAUUUUUAAGGCAGGUACUGAUCUUUUAGAAUUACAAGAAAAAGCUACUCUAGGGAUAACAGCAUAAUUUUUAUUAAAGUUCUUAUUGAAAUAAAAGAUUGUGACCUCGAUGUUGAAUUAAGAAAUAUGAUUUGUGCAGCAGCUAAUUAAUUCUAGUCUGUUCGACUAUACUAUCUUACAUGAUCUGAGUUCAAACCGGA